UACGAAGGGUGCAAGCGUUGUCCGGAAUUAUUGGGCGUAAAGAGCUCGUAGGCGGUCUGUCGCGUCUGGUGUGAAAACUCAGGGCUUAACCCUGAGCUUGCAGUGGGUACGGGCAGACUAGAGUGCGGUAGGGGAGACUGGAAUUCCUGGUGUAGCGGUGAAAUGCGCAGAUAUCAGGAGGAACACCGGUGGCGAAGGCGGGUCUCUGGGCCGUAACUGACGCUGAGGAGCGAAAGCAUGGGGAGCGAACAGG
rnacentral:rRNA from 1 species